rnacentral:rRNA from 1 species
CCUACGGGAGACAGCAGUGGGGAAUAUUGGGCAAUGGGCGCAAGCCUGACCCAGCAACGCCGCGUGAAGGAAGAAGGCUUUCGGGUUGUAAACUUCUUUUCUGAGGGACGAAGAAAGUGACGGUACCUCAGGAAUAAGCCACGGCUAACUACGGGCCAGCACCCGCGUUAAUACGUAGGGGGCAAGCAUGAUCCGGAUUUAUUGGGUGUAAAGGGCGUGUAGGCGGGAAGUCAAGUCAGAUGUGAAAACUCAGGGCUCAACCCUGGGCCUGCAUUUGAAACUGUUUUUCUUGUGUGCUGGAGAGGCAAUCGGAAUUCCGUGUGGAGCGGUGAAAUGCGUAGAUAUACGGAGGAACAGCAGUGGCGAAGGCGGAUUGCUGGACAGUAACUGACGCUGAGGCGCGAAAGCGUGGGGAGCAAACAGGAUUAGAUACCCUGGUAGUC